rnacentral:rRNA from 1 species
GUGAGGAAUAUUGCGCAAUGGAGGCAACUCUGACGCAGCCAUGCCGCGUGCAGGAAGAAGGCGCUACGCGUUGUAAACUGCUUUUAACCGGGAAGAAACCCCAGGACGUGUCCUGGGUUGACGGUACCGGAGGAAUAAGCACCGGCUAACUUCGUGCCAGCAGCCGCGGUAAUACGAAGGGUGCAAGCGUUAUCCGGAUUCAUUGGGUUUAAAGGGUGCGUAGGCGGAGCGUUAAGUCAGUGGUGAAAUCCUGCAGCUUAACUGUGGACUUGCCAUUGAUACUGGCGCUCUUGAGUGCGCUUGAAGUGGGCGGAAUGUGCCGUGUAGCGGUGAAAUGCUUAGAUAUGGCACAGAACACCAAUUGCGAAGGCAGCUCACUAAGGCGAUACUGACGCUGAGGCACGAAAGCGUGGGGAUCGAACAGGAUUAGAAACCCGAGUAGUCC